rnacentral:rRNA from 1 species
AGAGCGAACGCUGGCGGCAGGCUUAACACAUGCAAGUCGAACGCUCAUCUUCGGAUGGGAGUGGCAGACGGGUGAGUAACACGUGGGAACGUACCCUUCGGUUCGGAACAACUCUGGGAAACUGGAGCUAAUACCGGAUACGCCCUUUUGGGGAAAGGUUUACUGCCGAAGGAUCGGCCCGCGUCUGAUUAGCUAGUUGGUGGGGUAACGGCCUACCAAGGCGACGAUCAGUAGCUGGUCUGAGAGGAUGAUCAGCCACAUUGGGACUGAGACACGGCCCAAACUCCUACGGGAGGCAGCAGUGGGGAAUAUUGGACAAUGGGCGCAAGCCUGAUCCAGCCAUGCCGCGUGAGUGAUGAAGGCCUUAGGGUUGUAAAGCUCUUUUGUCCGGGACGAUAAUGACGGUACCGGAAGAAUAAGCCCGGCUAACUUCGUGCCAGCAGCCGC